rnacentral:sRNA from 2 species
AUUCUGCCCAAGCGGGGAAGGAUGAGAAGCUUCGACUAAGGUUCGACUCGAGCGCCAGCGAGAAAGCGUUGCCGCAGGCAACGACCCGAAGGGCGAAGCGCUAGUAAUCCUACCCCCACCACCA